rnacentral:rRNA from 1 species
UACGGGGGGGGCAAGCGUUGUUCGGAAUUACUGGGCGUAAAGCGCGUGUAGGCGGCCGAAUAAGUCUGACGUGAAAUCCCCCGGCCCAACCGGGGAACUGCGUUUGAUACUGUUCGGCUCGAGUCCGGGAGAGGGUAGUGGAAUUCCCAGUGUAGCGGUGAAAUGCGUAGAUAUUGGGAGGAACACCGGUGGCGAAGGCGGCUACCUGGACCGGUACUGACGCUGAGGCGCGAAAGCUAGGGUAGCAAACAGG